CAUCGUCUUCUCUCUCUUUCUCAAACCUCUUCAGAGCUUCUUCUCUCUCUUUCUCAAACCUUUCAACUUCUUCAUCUGUCACUGGAUCACCCACACACCACACCAUGGCGAACACCAAAUCUUCAGCUUCAUCUCUCUCUUUCUCACUCACACAGAAUACCACACCAUGGCGAGACUUCAUCUCUAUCUUUUCUGACUCAAACAUUCAGAUCUACUCAAAAAAUAAUCUUUUUGGUUCUUUUCUGUUGGAUCUCGAGUUUUGAUCUCGAUUUUGCUCUUAGAUCUACUUUGUAUUUGUUUUACGAUACUUCAUCUUUGUCUUUCUAACUCAAACAUUCAGAUCUACUCAAAAAAUAAUCUUUUUGGUUCUUUUCUAUUGGAUCUCGAGUUUUGAUCUCGAUUUUGCUCUUAGAUCUACUUUGUAUUUGUUUUAUUUUUGUGUUGCAUUGAUGUUUUGCUCUCAGAAUCAUGAGCAACGUGAAGAACACAAAAAAGAUCUACUGUUGGAUGAAUUUGUUCUUCUCAGAUCUACUUUUCUUUUGGUUCAUUUUUUCCUCUUAUAUUCUUGAGCACCUUCACAAGACUUAAAAAAAGAUCUACUUUUCUUUUGUUAUUCUUUUGGUUGAUGUUUUGCUCUGAGAGCCUUGAGCAACUUGACGAAGACAAAAAAGAUUUUCUUUUCUUUGUUGACAAAUGUGUUGGGUCGAGGUUUUUUUCUCAGAUCUAUUGUUUAAUGGAUUUUUUCUUCUCAGAUCUUUUUUGUUGAUGUUUUCCUCUGAGAUUUUUUAGGACCUUCACCGUACUAAAAAUAAGGUAACAACUUCUAAUUUUUUUUCUCAGAUCUACUACCAUCUUCUCAUAUCUACUUUGUUUUCUAUUAUUUUUGUUUUUCAUGGAUAUUUUUAAGCAAGAUCUACUUAUUUUUGUUCGGUGGAUUUUUUCAUAUUUACUUUUCUUUGUUGACAAAAUGUGUUGGGUUGAGGUUUUUUCUCAGAUCUACUAUUGAAUGAAUUUGUUCUUCUCAGAUAUACUUUUUUUUUGUUGAUGUUUUCCUCUGAGAUGUUUUAGGACCUUCACCGUACUAAAAACAAGAUUUACUUUGUUGUUCGUAUUUUCGUUCUUCUACACAGUAAAGGUUGAAUCUUUUAACCUUUCACUCUUUGACGACGACAAUAAAGACAUAUAGAUAUAUCAAUGGACACUCACUACACCAAGUUUACUAGCUGCAAAGUUUAAAGAUGGUUUCAUUACAGUUCAUUUACAAGAAAAUGUAUGUAUUUGACUAUAAUAAUCUUUUUUGGUCAAAUAAGUACUUUAAUAUUUUUUUCCUUAUGCAUUAACGAAGAUACUUUAAAAUUGAAAUUAAAGUAUAAAGUAUUUUUUUUAUGACUGAUUCAAAUACGUGGAUUGUUGAAAAACAUUUUUUUUUAUGUUUUAGGUAACUUAAGUGUGAAAAGAUAACAACAUAUUUCUUGUCGCACACCUUUUGGUUGCAGCAUGCAACAAUUAAUCAUUUCCAAAACAUUCAAUGCUCUCUCUUGGU